CAUGAUCAGCAUGCCGCGUGUGUGAAGAAGGUUUUCGGAUUGUAAAGCCCUUUUGUUGGGGACGAUGAUUACCGGACCCGCAGAAUAAGCUCCGGCUAUUUUCCUGCCAACAACCACCGGCUUACUACGGGCCCUAGCGUUGCUCAAUAUGACUGGGCGUAAAGGGCGCGUAAAUUACUGGCCCUAUCGGGUGUGUAAUUCCUGGACUUAACCAUCUGUGAAAUCCCUGGGCUCAACCUCUACAGUGAGGAAGAGACUGUUGGAAUUUCCUAUGUAAAAGGGAAAUUCAAUUUCCUGGGAAACAACACCAUGGGCAAAGGCCGCAACGUGCUCCUUUACUGACGCUGACUCCCUGAACCGUGAGGAACAAUCAAGAUUAAAUACCCUGGUAGUCCACGCUGUAAACUAUGUUGGCUUGAUGUUGGGGUGCUUAUCUCUUCUAUGUGUGAGCUAACGCAAUAAGCACACCGACUGGGGAGUACGGCCGCAAGGACCAAACGCAAAGGACUUUACCGAGAUUAAAACUCAGUGUUUUGACGGUCGGAUACCUUGGA
rnacentral:rRNA from 1 species